AGGCCAGUAGCUCAAUUUGGCAGAGCAGCGGACUCCAAAUCCGCCGGCUGGGGGUUCGAGUCCCUCCUGGCCUGCCA
rnacentral:tRNA from 1 species